GAUGAACGCUGGCGGCGUGCCUAAUACAUGCAAGUCGAGCGAACAGAUGAGGAGCUUGCUCCUCUGACGUUAGCGGCGGACGGGUGAGUAACACGUGGAUAACCUACCUAUAAGACUGGGAUAACUUCGGGAAACCGGAGCUAAUACCGGAUAAUAUAUUGAACCGCAUGGUUCAAUAGUGAAAGACGGUUUUGCUGUCACUUAUAGAUGGAUCCGCGCCGCAUUAGCUAGUUGGUAAGGUAACGGCUUACCAAGGCAACGAUGCGUAGCCGACCUGAGAGGGUGAUCGGCCACACUGGAACUGAAGCACGGUCAAGACACCUACGGAAGGCACCAGUAGGGAAUCUUCCGCAAUGGGCGAAAGCCUGACGGAGCAACGCCGCGUGAGUGAUGAAGGUCUUCGGAUCGUAAUACUCUGUUAUUAGGGAAAAACAAAUGUGUAAGUAGCUAUGCACGUCUUGACGGUACCUAAUCAGAAAGCCACGGCUAACUACGUG
rnacentral:rRNA from 1 species